AGGAGGAACAACCCCAGUGGUUGCUGUAGCUCUGGAAACCUGGAUUCAGCUCCCGCAGGAACUACUCCGUCUGCAGGGCCUGGAGGCUCCAGGGCGGG
rnacentral:pre_miRNA from 1 species